GUGAAACAGCGGUUCCUAUACGAUCACUGAAGUUAAGCAACGUCGAGCAUGGUCAGUACCGAGAUGGGCGAUCGCUUGGGAAUACCAGGUGCUAUA